rnacentral:rRNA from 1 species
UUGCGGUUAAAAAGCUCGUAGUUGGAUCUCGGCGGGCAGGGGGUGGUUCGCUCUUCAGCGCUACUGCCCCGCUUUGCCCGUGUGAUUGGCGGAGGUUUCGGGGUGCUCUUCGUUGAGUGACUCGGAGCGCCGUCAGGUUUACUUUGAAAAAAUUAGAGUGCUCAAAGCAGGCUUUUCACGCUUGAAUAUUCGUGCAUGGAAUAAUGGAAUAGGAACUCGUUUCUAUUUUGUUGGUUUUCGGAAAUCGAGUUAAUGAUUAACAGGGACAAUUGGGGGCAUUAGUAUUCAGACGACAGAGGUGAAAUUCUUGGACCGUCUGAAGACUGACUACUGCGAAAGCAUUUGCCAAGAGUGUUUUCAUUAAUCAAGAACGAAAGUUAGAGGUUCGAAGGCGAUCAGAUACCGCCCUAGUUCUAACCAUAAACGAUGCCAGCUAGCGAUCUGCCGAGUUUUUUUUGUAGGCUCCGCAGGAAGCUUUCGGGAAACUAAAGCUUUUGGGUUCCGGGGGAAGUAUGGUUGCAAAGCUGAAACUUAAAGGAAUUGACGGAAGGGCACCACCAGGAGUGGAGCCUGCGGCUUAAUUUGACUCAACACGGGAAAUCUCACCAGGCCCGGACACUGGAAGGAUUGACAGAUUGAGAGCUCUUUCUC